rnacentral:lncRNA from 1 species
GAUUCAUUCUUACUGAGGAAGACCUUUAACAACCUCAGCAUACAAUUUAUAUUCUUUCCUUAUUAAGUUAAAACCUUUUACCUUUUCACUUAAAGGAAGCACUUUACGGCUUCUCUUUGGCAUUUCCAAAUUGCCAGCAUCACUACUCUUGCGCUUUGGGGCCAUUAUUAAAUAAAAUAAGGGUUACCUGAACACAAGCACUAUGAUACUAUGACAGUGAAUUUGAUAACGGCUGACUACUAAGUGACUAACUGGCGGGUAAUGCAGACAGCCUAGAUCUGCCGGUUGCAGGGAUGAUUCAUGCCCUGGGCAGGAUGGAGUGGGACUGCAAGAGAUUCCAUCCUGCUACUCAGAACAGUGUACACUUUAAAACUUUAUGAAACUUUCUGGAAUUUUCCAUGGAAUAUUUUUGGACUGCAGUUGACCACAGCAAGGAUGAUUGAGAACAGGAACGGCUCAGGAUGUUCACAAGCAAGUCAUGAAUAGCUAGGAAUUCCCUUUAAGAGCAAAGGUUUUAUCAUCAGAGAGACCUACCUGCAGGGUGAGUAACUUCUCUAAGUUUCCAUUUCCUUCUCUGAGGACUAAAUGAGAAACUGCAUGUAAAGUAGUUUGCACAGUCCCUGGUACAUGAUAAAUGAAAAAUGGGCAUGUAUUUUAUGAAAAACAUUUUGAAAGAUACUUUUGAUCUGGAAUUCUUUUGUUGGUUUUUCAGGAUUAGCAUAUACUGAGGCUGGGAAGUGUUUGUCAUAUCCUAUUUUCUGGAUAGCCACUGUGGAGUCCUGCAUUGUUGUCAUUUUCUAACUGGACUUGUGAAGGGCCCAGAAAACUCUUGACCAUUGGGAUAUUGGGAACCAUUGACCGGGAAUGUCAUGAUGCAGAUGGAGGCUUCCAAUACCAGUGGCCCAGUGCUGUAUUCUAAGUAAAAUAAUUUUUGUGUUUUUUUUUUUUUUUUUCUUUGAGAUGGAGUUUGGCUCUUGUUGCCCAGGCUGGAGUGCAAUGGCAUGAUCUUGGCUCACCGCAACCCUCGCCUCCUGGGUUCAAGCAAUUCUCCUGCCUCAGCCUCCCGAGUAGCUGGGAUUCCAGGCAUGAACCACCAUACCCAGCUAGUUUUGUAUUUUUAGUAGAGACAGGGGUUCCCCAUGUUGGUCAGGCUCGUCUCGAACUCCCGACCUCAGGUGACCUGCUCACCUUGGCCUCCCAAAGUGCUGGGAUUAUAGGCAUGAGCCACACAGCACCUGGCUACUUUUUGUCUUAACAGUGGCUCUCACUGAUUAUUAUGAGUUACAGAUUGUUAUGAUAACCACUGGGGUGGCAUAGUGAAUCAGAAGA